rnacentral:rRNA from 1 species
CACGUAGGGGGCGAGCGUUGUCCGGAUUUAUUGGGCGUAAAGAGCUCGUAGGCGGCUCGGUAAGUCGGGUGUGAAAUUUCGAGGCUCAACCUCGAAACGCCACCCGAUACUGCUGUGGCUAGAGUCCGGUAGGGGAGCGUGGAAUUCCUGGUGUAGCGGUGAAAUGCGCAGAUAUCAGGAGGAACACCGAUGGCGAAGGCAGGUCUCUGGGCCAUAACUGACGCUGAGAAGCGAAAGCGUGGGGAGCGAACAGG